GGGUUGUGAGGUUAAGCGACUAAGCGUACACGGUGGAUGCCCUGGCAGUCAGAGGCGAUGAAGGACGUGCUAAUCUGCGAAAAGCGUCGGUAAGGUGAUAUGAACCGUUAUAGCCGGCGAUGUCCGAAUGGGGAAACCCAGUGCAAUUCGUUGCACUAUCGUUAACUGAAUACAUAGGUUAACGAGGCGAACCGGGGGAACUGAAACAUCUAAGUACCCCGAGGAAAAGAAAUCAACCGAGAUUCCCCCAGUAGCGGCGAGCGAACGGGGAGCAGCCCAGAGUCUGAAUCAGCUUGUGUGUUAGUGGAACGGUCUGGAAAGUCCGACGGUACAGGGUGAUAGUCCCGUACACCAAAAUGCACAGGCUGUGAACUCGAAGAGUAGGGCGGGACACGUGGUAUCCUGUCUGAAUAUGGGGGGACCAUCCUCCAAGGCUAAAUACUCCUGACUGACCGAUAGUGAACCAGUACCGUGAGGGAAAGGCGAAAAGAACCCCGGCGAGGGGAGUGAAAAAGAACCUGAAACCGUGUACGUACAAGCAGUGGGAGCACCUUCGGGUGUGACUGCGUACCUUUUGUAUAAUGGGUCAGCGACUUAUAUUCUGUAGCAAGGUUAACCGUAUAGGGGAGCCGCAGGGAAACCGAGUCUUAACUGGGCGUUAAGUUGCAGGGUAUAGACCCGAAACCCGGUGAUCUAGCCAUGGGCAGGUUGAAGGUUGGGUAACACUAACUGGAGGACCGAACCGACUAAUGUUGAAAAAUUAGCGGAUGACUUGUGGCUGGGGGUGAAAGGCCAAUCAAACCGGGAGAUAGCUGGUUCUCCCCGAAAGCUAUUUAGGUAGCGCCUCGUGAACUCAUCUUCGGGGGUAGAGCACUGUUUCGGCUAGGGGGUCAUCCCGACUUACCAACCCGAUGCAAACUACGAAUACCGAAGAAUGUUAUCACGGGAGACACACGGCGGGUGCUAACGUCCGUCGUGAAGAGGGAAACAACCCAGACCGCCAGCUAAGGUCCCAAAGUCAUGGUUAAGUGGGAAACGAUGUGGGAAGGCACAGACAGCCAGGAUGUUGGCUUAGAAGCAGCCAUCAUUUAAAGAAAGCGUAAUAGCUCACUGGUCGAGUCGGCCUGCGCGGAAGAUGUAACGGGGCUAAACCAUGCACCGAAGCUGCGGCAGCGACACUAUGUGUUGUUGGGUAGGGGAGCGUUCUGUAAGCCUGCGAAGGUGACCUGUGAGGGUUGCUGGAGGUAUCAGAAGUGCGAAUGCUGACAUAAGUAACGAUAAAGCGGGUGAAAAGCCCGCUCGCCGGAAGACCAAGGGUUCCUGUCCAACGUUAAUCGGGGCAGGGUGAGUCGACCCCUAAGGCGAGGCCGAAAGGCGUAGUCGAUGGGAAACAGGUUAAUAUUCCUGUACUUGGUGUUACUGCGAAGGGGGGACGGAGAAGGCUAUGUUAGCCGGGCGACGGUUGUCCCGGUUUAAGCAUGUAGGCUG
rnacentral:rRNA from 1 species